GUGGGGAAUAUUGGACAAUGGGCGAAAGCCUGAUCCAGCCAUGCCGCGUGUGUGAAGAAGGUCUUCGGAUUGUAAAGCACUUUAAGUUGGGAGGAAGGGCAGUAAGCUAAUACCUUGCUGUUUUGACGUUACCAACAGAAUAAGCACCGGCUAACUUCGUGCCAGCAGCCGCGGUAAUACGAAGGGUGCAAGCGUUAAUCGGAAUUACUGGGCGUAAAGCGCGCGUAGGUGGUUCAGCAAGUUGGAGGUGAAAUCCCCGGGCUCAACCUGGGAACUGCCUCCAAAACUACUGAGCUAGAGUACGGUAGAGGGUAGUGGAAUUUCCUGUGUAGCGGUGAAAUGCGUAGAUAUAGGAAGGAACACCAGUGGCGAAGGCGACUACCUGGACUGAUACUGACACUGAGGUGCGAAAGCGUGGGGAGCAAACAGGAUUAGAUACCCCGGUAGUCC
rnacentral:rRNA from 1 species